AACGAACGCUGGCGGCAGGCCUAACACAUGCAAGUCGAGCGAGACCUUCGGGUCUAGCGGCGGACGGGUGAGUAACGCGUGGGAACGUGCCCUUUGGUUCGGAAUAGCCCCGGGAAACUGGGAGUAAUACCGGAUAAGCCCUACGGGGGAAAGAUUUAUCGCCAAAGGAUCGGACCGCGUUGGAUUAGGUAGUUGGUGGGGUAAUGGCCUACCAAGCCGACGAUCCAUAGCUGGUUUGAGAGGAUGAUCAGCCACACUGGGACUGAGACGCGGCCCAGACUCCUACGGGAGGCAGCAGUGGGGAAUCUUAGACAAUGGGGGAAACCCUGAUCUAGCCAUGCCGCGUGAGCGAUGAAGGCCUUAGGGUUGUAAAGCUCUUUCAGUGGGGAAGAUAAUGACUGUACCCACAGAAGAAGCCCCGGCUAACUCCGUGCCAGCAGCCGCGGUAACAC
rnacentral:rRNA from 1 species